UAUACGCUCGCUGUUAGUUUUCGUCUAAAUCCGCGAGCCUCCUGCCUCCUGCCUCCUGGAUCUGAUUUCUGGAUCACAUAUAAAUAUUACAACAAAUGACCAACGCAAACAAGCCUCAAGAGCUAGAAUCCGGUAUAUUUUGACCCACCCAAUCGUACCUUUCUCCGUCUCUGUUUUUGCAAUUUUCUCUGAAUCUCAGUAUUCCUUCUUCAGCGACCCAGCACUGGUACGCCCCCCAAAACCCUAAUCCCAACUUUUGGAAUCAAUGUCGAUUGCUCACUGCGCUUAAUUUUGGAUUGAUCUGGUAGAUUAAGAGGACGGGUUUUUCAGAAUUGGCAUUACUCUGUCGUGAUCAGUUAGUUUAUACAGUUUAUUCUGAAAUUCUAAAUCUUGUGGAUUGUUCCUUUCUUUUUGUAUUAUUGAUCCGUAAUCGGGUGUUGAAACUUGGGGCGCUAGCGAUCUGGAUUUCGUAUUUUGCUUUGUUUUAUGGUGAAUCGAUGUGAGUUUGCGCUGUACCUUCUCAUAAUUAUGUGAGUCCGAUGGUACAAUCUAGUGGAAACAGUAUACCCAUGUUAUUUGGAAAGUGUGAACGGUGGUGGUUCUAAUGCUUGUAGUAAUUGUCUGGAUUCAACGUAAACAUACACUGAAGCUUGUAUGUUAGGUUCAAGGAAUUGGGUAUUGAGUGGGUAUUCUUAAUUCAAUUGUUGAAGGGAGUUGCACGAUUUGGACAUGAGAAGCUCUUGGUUGAAUAAACUAUCCGUCAUUUUUGGCCCUAGACCGCCACUCAGCUGGUUACUGUUGUGCCUCAUUAGCUUGCUCGCACUAAUUGCAGUUUUAGGAUCUUCUUCCUCGAAUGCCUUUGACUCUGUCACUCCCACUCCAGUGCCUGACGAUUAUUUGAAUUAUAGAAGGUUAAAGGAGCAGACAGCAGUUGAUUAUUUGGAGCUGAAGUCUUUCUCAGUCGGAGCUAGUCGGCAAAGAGAGCUUAGCCUUUGUGGCAAAGAAAGAGAAAAUUAUGUGCCUUGUCACAAUGUUUCAGCAAAUUUGUUAGCUGGGUUUAAAGAUGGGGAGGAGUUUGAUCGGCAUUGUGAAGUUUCUAGAGAAUUGGAGCGGUGUUUGGUUCGCCCUCCUAAGGACUAUAAGACCCCCCUGAAGUGGCCCGCUGGUAGGGAUGUGAUAUGGAGUGGAAAUGUGAAGAUAACCAAAGACCAAUUUCUUUCGUCAGGAAGCAUGACCAAAAGGUUGAUGUUACUGGAAGAGAAUCAAAUUGCUUUCCACUCUGAGGAUGGGUUGAUCUUUGAUGGUGUUAAAGACUACUCUCGCCAAAUUGCAGAGAUGAUAGGGUUAGGAAGCGAUUCUGAAUUUCUUCAAGCUGGAGUGCAUACUGUACUAGAUAUUGGUUGUGGAUUUGGUAGCUUCGGAGCUCAUUUAGUCUCAUUGAAGUUAAUGGCUGUUUGUAUUGCGGCUUAUGAGGCAACUGGCAGCCAAGUCCAGUUGGCCCUUGAGAGAGGUCUUCCGGCAAUGAUUGGGAACUUUAUUUUGAGACAGCUUCCAUAUCCAUCAUUGUCAUUUGACAUGGUUCAUUGUGCUCAGUGUGGCAUUGUUUGGGACAAAAAAGAUGGAAUGUUCCUCAUAGAAGUCGACCGGUUACUCAAGCCUGGAGGUUACUUUGUAUUAACCUCACCUACAAGCAAGCUACAAGGGAGUUCAGUGAGUAUGAAGAAGAGAAACAUGUUAACACCAUUGGAAGAAUUGACCCAGGAAAUCUGUUGGAGUCUUCUAGCUCAGCAAGAUGAAACUUUUGUCUGGCAGAAAACUGUGGAUACUGAUUGCUAUGCAUCUCGCAAGCAGGGUGCUAUACCACUUUGUAAAGAAGGGCAUGAUGCUCAAUCAUAUUAUCAGCCCCUUGUAUCGUGUGUAAGUGGGACCUCUAGCAAACGCUGGAAUCCAAUCCAGAACAGAUCCUCUGGUUCCCAGUUGAGCUCAGCUGAGCUUGAAAUUCAUGGAGUUCUGCCUGAAGAUUUCUUUGACAACUUGCAGUUUUGGCGAUCAGCUUUGAAAAACUAUUGGUCUUUGCUUACACCCUUAAUUUUCUCCGACCACCCAAAGAGGCCUGGUGAUGAGGACCCAUUACCGCCAUAUAACAUGAUACGCAAUGUGAUGGACAUGAGUGCUCAUUACGGGGCUUUAAAUGCUGCAUUUUUGGAGGAGAAAAAAUCAGUAUGGGUAAUGAAUGUUGUGCCUGUCAGAGCUCCUAAUACACUUCCUCUUAUACUUGAUCAAGGCUUUGCUGGUGCUCUGCAUGAUUGGUGUGAACCUUUCCCCACAUACCCCAGGACAUACGAUAUGCUUCAUGCAAAUGGGCUCCUUUCACAUCUCGCUUCAGAGAGGUGCAGCGCAAUGGACUUAUUCUUGGAGAUGGACCGAAUACUGCGCCCUGAGGGAUGGGCUGUUCUUUCUGAUAAAGUGGGAGCUAUAGAGAUGGCACGCACAAUUGCUACACAAAUACGAUGGGAAGCAAGGGUGAUUGACCUUCAGAAUGGCAGUGACCAGCGGCUGCUUGUUUGCCAGAAACCAUUCAUUAAGAAAUGAUAGAUUGAGCAUCUGGAGGUCUCGCCUUUUCAAAAGUGUACAUUUUUUUUGCUCUGGGUUUCGAUCAUUUGAUAGCAUAUAUCCAUAUAAUAUAUGCUUAGAGCCUGAUGGAUCUGACGCUGUCCACCAUUGAACGAGAGGGCAUGUGGAGGCUGUAGAUUAAAGAGGUUUGCCACACAAAGUAGCUGCAAAUCAGAUUUUUUUUUUUUUUUGGUCAGAGCGCUUGUAGCAAUUCAUUCAUCCAAUUUUUUUUCGCAUUUUUUUUUUCAAAAAAAAAAUCUUUAUUGAUUGAUUUUGGACUGCUUAUCUUGGAAUUAAACAAUCGCUGCUGUUGAGGAUAGAAUGUGAAAUGGCAACGAAAUGUAAAAGAGCUAAAAAUUGUAUCUGUAGACAUUUUCUCUUCUCCCUCGGGAAUAUUAUAGUAUCUUAUUGAUCA